rnacentral:lncRNA from 1 species
AGAAGGUAGUAUGGAGAUUCGCCGAUAGUCAAGCAGUCUAUCAGUUUUGACUGUUGGAAUAUAAACGACUGCAACAAUGUACCGUAAAUCUAUACGGAUGCUCUUCGACUGCUUGUCGAAGUCUUUUUUGCCCCAGUCGGUAGGUCUCUAGACGUUACAGAGAACCCCGAAUAACCCAAACUGUUAAUCUUCAAUACCGCUUUGUACUUACGAUCUUGUAUCCACUGACUGUCUUAUUAGAUUAACCCAAUAAAUUUCAUUCACUCUGCAUACUCAAUCCUAUAGACACCCUUUUAAUCCUUUAAUCACAGACUUAACUCGAUUUCACAAAACAGUCAAGAGUAUUCAAACCCACUUCAU